rnacentral:rRNA from 1 species
AACCAGCACCUCAAGUGGUCAGGAUGAUUAUUGGGCCUAAAGCAUCCGUAGCCGGCUCUGUAAGUUUUCGGUUAAAUCUAUGCGCUCAAUGUAUGGGCUGCCGAAAAUACUGUAGAGAUAGGGAGUGGGAGAGGUAGACGGUACUCGGUAGGAAGGGGUAAAAUUCUUUGAUCUAUCGAUGACUACCUGUUGCGAAGGCGCCACACUAGAACGGAUCCGACGGUCAGGGACGAAGCCUAGGGGCACGAACCGG